rnacentral:rRNA from 1 species
GUCCACGCCCUAAACGAUGGCAACUGGGUGUUGGGGAAGCGAUUUCUCAGUACCGUAGCUAACGCGUGAAGUUGCCCGCCUGGGGAGUACGGCCGCAAGGUUAAAACUCAAAGGAAUUGACGGGGACCCGCACAAGCGGUGGAUGAUGUGGAUUAAUUCGAUGCAACGCGAACAACCUUACCUACCCUUGACAUGUCCGGAACCCCAUCGAGAGGUGGGGGUGCCCGAAAGGGAAUCGGAACACAGGUGCUGCAUGGCUGUCGU